UGGGGAAUUUUGGACAAUGGGCGAAAGCCUGAUCCAGCAAUGCCGCGUGUGUGAAGAAGGCCUUCGGGUUGUAAAGCACUUUUGUCCGGAAAGAAAUCCUUGGCUCUAAUACAGUCGGGGGAUGACGGUACCGGAAGAAUAAGCACCGGCUAACUACGUGCCAGCAGCCGCGGUAAUACGUAGGGUGCAAGCGUUAAUCGGAAUUACUGGGCGUAAAGCGUGCGCAGGCGGUUUGCUAAGACCGAUGUGAAAUCCCCGGGCUCAACCUGGGAACUGCAUUGGUGACUGGCAGGCUAGAGUAUGGCAGAGGGGGGUAGAAUUCCACGUGUAGCAGUGAAAUGCGUAGAGAUGUGGAGGAAUACCGAUGGCGAAGGCGCCCCUGGGCCAAUACUGACGCUCAUGCACGAAAGCGUGGGGAGCAAACAGGAUUAGAUACCCUGGUAGUCCACGCCCUAAACGAUGUCAACUAGUUGUUGGGGAUUCAUUUCCUUAGUAACGUAGCUAACGCGUGAAGUUGACCGCCUGGGGAGUACGGUCGCAAGAUUAAAACUCAAAUGAAUUGACGGGGU
rnacentral:rRNA from 1 species